CACUGAGAUUCAGCCCUUUGU
rnacentral:siRNA from 1 species